GAUGAAGAACGUAGCGAAAUGCUAUAAGUAAUGUGAAUUGCAGAAUUCAGUGAAUCAUCGAAUCUUUGAACGCACAUUGCGCCCGCCAGUAUUCUGGCGGGCAUGCCUGUUCGAGCGUCAUUUCAACCCUCAAGCCCCAGGCUUGUGUUGGGGGCCUGCAGCUGCUGCAGCCCCCUAAAAGCAGUGGCGGACUCGCUGUCAUACCGAGCGCAGUAGUUACAUCUCGCUCUGGGCAUGGCGGCGGGCACCUGCCGUAAAACACUCUUUCUAAGGUUGACCUCGGAUCAGGUAGGAAUACCCGCUGAACUUAAGCAUAUCAAUAAGCGGAGGA
rnacentral:misc_RNA from 1 species